rnacentral:lncRNA from 1 species
UUGGGCUCAAAUGAGAUUAACUCGUUACUCUGAGUUAUACACUAUGAGUUGCAACCACAAGAAACACUAAUAAAUACAAGAAUAAAUCAAAAAAACACAUAAACAAAUACAAACAAGUAAACCAUCGUAUAUAUAAACUUAGUUUUCACCAAUUAUCUUCCUAGAAAAGCAUGCAACAAUCAUAAAAAUCAACUUAUCACACACACAUUUCCCCGACAACUGCAUCAACAAAUUGACCGUGGCACACGUAUGAACACCGAGCAGAGAAUCAAUACAAAAUUAUGAACACAUUCAUCAUCUCAACAACCCAUCACACAUACAUCUCCCCG